AUAGAUAAAGACUGAGGUCGUUUUAAAUCAGAAAGUUAUUCCCCAAUUCAAUCAAAAUAUUGUUUUCUCUCUCCAUAAAAACAAAUAGUAUUUUUGAUUUAGCUUUACUGAUGGUUACGAUUAGAAUUUGUCUUUGUUUGGAUAUGAAACUGAUUUUAUCAGUGAAGCCUAGAUUAUUCUAGGCUUUU
rnacentral:sRNA from 1 species